rnacentral:rRNA from 1 species
AUUGAACGCUGGCGGCAGGCCUAACACAUGCAAGUCGAGCGGAGCGGCGGACGGGUGAGUAAUGUAUGGGGAUCUGCCCGAUAGAGGGGGAUUACUACUGGAAAUGGUAGCUAAUACCGCAUACCAUUGGACCGGCCGAUAUCGGAUUAGCUAGUUGGUGGGGUAAAGGCUCACCAAGGCAACGAUCCUUAGCUGGUUUGGGAGGACGACCAGCCACACUGGGACUGAGACAGGGCCCAGACCCCUACGGGAGGAAGGAGUGGGGAAUUUUGAACAAGGGGGGAAACCCUGAUCCAGCCAUACCGAGUGUAUGAUGAGGGCCUUCGGGUUGUAAAGUACUGUUGGCAGAGAAGCGGUAUCUGCAGAAUAAGCACCGGCUAACUACGUGCCAGCCGCCGGGUAAUUC